GUGAGGAAUAUUGGUCAAUGGACGAGAGUCUGAACCAGCCAAGUAGCGUGAAGGAUGACUGCCCUAUGGGUUGUAAACUUCUUUUAUAAGGGAAUAAAGUGAGGGACGUGUCCCUUUUUGUAUGUACCUUAUGAAUAAGGAUCGGCUAACUCCGUGCCAGCAGCCGCGGUAAUACGGAGGAUCCAAGCGUUAUCCGGAGUUAUUGGGUUUAAAGGGAGCGUAGGUUGACAUAUAAGUCAGCUGUGAAAGUUUACGGCUCAACCGUGAAAUUGCAGGUGAUACUGUAUGUGUUGAGUGUACAAGAGGUGGGCGGAAUUCGUGGUGUAGCGGUGAAAUGCUUAGAUAUCACGAAGAACUCCAAUUGCGAAGGCAGCUCACUGGGGUACAACUGACACUGAGGCUCGAAAGUGUGGGUAUCAAACAGGAUUAGAAACCCGUGUAGUCC
rnacentral:rRNA from 1 species